rnacentral:rRNA from 1 species
CAAGUCGAACGCGAAAGUCCCCUUCGGGGGACAAGUAGAGUGGCGUCCGGGUGAGUAACACGUAGGUAAUCUACCUUCGGGUGGGGAAUAACGCAGGGAAACUUGCGCUAAUACCGCAUAAUGCAGCGGCACCACAUGGUGACAGUUGUUAAAGCGGGGGAUUUUCGAACCUCGCGCCUGAAGAGGAGCCUGCGGCAGAUUAGUUAGUUGGUAAGGUAAUGGCUUACCAAGGCGACGAUCUGUAACCGGCCUGAGAGGGCGGUCGGUCACACUGACACUGACAUACGGGUCAGACUCCUACGGGAGGCAGCAGUCGGGAAUUUUGGGCAAUGGGCGAAAGCCUGACCCAGCAACGCCGCGUGAAGGAUGAAAUCCCUCGGGAUGUAAACUUCGCAAGAAUGGGAAGAAUGAGUAGGGGCUAAUACUCCCUAUGAUGACGGUACCAUUUGUAAGCUCCGGCUAACUCCGUGCCAGCAGCCGCGGUAAUACGGGGGGAGCAAGCGUUGUUCGGAUUUACUGGGCGUAAAGGGCGCGUAGGCGGCCAGCGCAAGUCAGUUGUGAAAUCUCCGGGCUUAACUCGGAACGGUCAACUGAUACUGCGCGGCUAGAGUGCGGAAGGGGCAACUGGAAUUCUCGGUGUAGCGGUGAAAUGCGUAGAUAUCGAGAGGAACACCUGCGGCGAAGGCGGGUUGCUGGGCCGACACUGACGCUGAUGCGCGAAAGCCAGGGGAGCGAACGGGAUUAGAUACCCCGGUAGUCCUGGCCUUAAACGAUGGAUGCUUGGUGUCUGGAGUUUUAUAGUCUCCGGGUGCCGCAGCUAACGCGUUAAGCAUCCCGCCUGGGGAGUACGGUCGCAAGACUGAAACUCAAAGGAAU